CAAGUUUGUUUAGCCCAUGGUGGUGAGGCUUGCCAAAACUCCAGUUCUGACUGCUGGGAUGGGCGAUUUCCCUCUGGUUAGGGCUGUUCUAAAUGCUCCCUCUGUGCAUGGGUGUCAGCUGUGUUAAGCCUGGUUUUGGUUUUCACUCUGACAGGGCAGAACUGAGUUCAGUGCAGUGUCCCACAAUCACUGUGCUCCCCCUUUCCCAAACUCAGAGAUUCUCCAUGUCACCCAGCCACUACCAGGGAGGUGGGGCAGGUAUGGCAAUUAAAGACUGUCUUUUUAUUGUUUUUAUUUUGAGACAGAGUUUCACUCUGUCGUCCAGGCUGGAGUGCAGUGGUGCAAUCUCGGCUUACUGCAACCUCCGCCUCCCAAGUUCAAGCAAUUCUCCUGCCUGAGCCUCCCAAGUAGCUGGGAUUACAGGUGCCCACCACCACGCCCAGCUGAUUUUUUUUUUUUUUUGUAUUUUUAGUAGAGACGGGGUUUCACCAUGUUGGCCAGGCUGGUUUCGAACUCCAGACCUCAAGUGAUCCACUUGCCUCAGCCUCCCAAAGUACUAGGAUUACAGGUGUAAGUCACCGUGCCUGGACAAGACUGUCUUUCCCACUCUCUUCAGAGCUUCUUUCAGAGAUAUGAAAGAAGGUUAAAACCAGGUGACACAGAGAUACAUAGUGAGCACAAGUUAUUGAAAAAAUGGCAACAAUAGACUUCCUCAACAUAGAAUUGCCACAAACCUUCAAGCAAAGUAUAAUGAGGCCCAUCUUCAGGCUGAGAGUGAUGACACUGACCUCCCCAUUGAGAAUAUAUGUGGAAAGAAGAAGCAACUACAUUGAUUAAAAGUAGCAAUGGUUUAAGGAAACAAAGAGGCUGGAACUCUGCCUGCCACAGGGAAAGAAAUGCUGGGAAGCCUGGUGGGAGCAGGUUAGAAACAGGCUUGCAGCCCCAGCCCAGAUGCCUGCAUUUAGGUGAUGAGCAAUAUUCUUUGUGUGUUUUGUCAGUCCUGAGAGAAGCUUCUUUCCAAAAAUAAUUACUCUAUAUUUGUAGCAGGAAAACCUUUUAUCUUCUGUUUAAAUUCAUAUCUUCAUCUGUGUUAUGGAAGCCCUGCCCUCACUAAGCCUUUGACUUGGAGAUGUUGGCUGUCCUCUCUGCCACAGUCAGCUCUUCUUCAGGACAUUUUAAUCAGUAGUGACUUUAGAAAGAGAAAGGGGGACUGGGAUCCCAUGAUGAAAAAUACUGAACAGAAACAGAGAGAAAAAUCUCUGUGGUCACUAGUAGAAAUCAAUAUGUAAGUGAAUGGACCAGUUUUCUUGAGAAAUGGGCAUUUCUCUGUUCACCUGCCUGGGCUCCCCCAAAAGCAGAGCCUGAGACAAAGGAUUAUGUACAGAUAGGUAACUUGAGAUGUGGUUCCAGGGGGUCAGGGAUGAGCAAUGAAAGCCAAUAUAAGGAUGUAUUGUCGAGUUGGCCACAGCCAUAGGCAACUAGAGCUCAACUCAGUGGAACUUUCUGCAGAGCCAGAUGAGAUGUGUUUCAGAAUAUCCAUUGUGGAAAUGGAAGAGUAAAACAUCUAUUUAUCAGCUCUCAUCUGCCACUGGUCAACAGUGGCCCCAGGAGGUUAACUCCCUAUGUUUUGAGUUGUCCUGUAGAAAUGUUGUGCCAUGGUGUCCCAUGGUGUGACAUCAGAGAAGUCACAAAGCAGGAAGUGAGAGGAUGGGAGACACAGGAUGAGGCAAGGCACUGCCUGCUUACUUGUGCAUGAGGCAAACUGAAGCCUGCACAGAACUGGCUGAGUUUUCCAUGACUGGAGGAAGAGGUAGGGCUGAAGGGAUUUGGAGUGGUACUAACGACAUGUCAAUAAACCAACCAAUUGCAAUGAAAUAUUCUUAAGAUUCUAGAUGACUCCUAUGAUCUCUUCGUCUCUCAUUCAUUGUAAGGGAGAAAUAGGGUGACUUUGGCCUUCUUCAGUCCUAGGUUUGAAUCCUGGCUCUAUCAUUUAUGAGUGUUGUUCUCAUAAGUAAGCGACUUAACUUCUUUGAGCCUUAGUUUACCUUGUAAAAUUAAGACAGUAUAUCUAUCUCAUCCUGUUGUAGUGAGAAUGACCUGAGAUACUGUAUGUUAAGUUCUUAGCACCUAGCCUGGUGCAUGGCAAGGGCUGAAGUCAUGUCAGCUUGUAUUAUUGUGAUUUGACAUCACAACAGCAGUAGUCAUGGGGCAUAAAGGAGCAUAGAAAGGGGGCUAUUAGGGACUAGGACUGGAGGGAGGAUGAACCAGGUAGACUCCCAAUAGGAAUGUGAGGUGGGGAUUGUGCCUCUGUUUAACAAGUCAGGAUACAGCUUCUGGGAUGGAACUGGCCAAAGUUUGAUGAAGUAUCAAGGCUUGCAUUAAGGGUGCUGAGGUCUCAGAAGGGAAACUGGGAUGCUACAGAGGAAAUAGCAGCAGCUAUGAGCAGUUACAUAUUCUGGGAAUUAGAGGACUGCAGAAGGGUUCAAGGAAGUGCCCAGGGAGCCUGAUGGGUGCAGAGAGUUUGAUGAGGUAUCAAGACUUCCAUUAAGGGUGCUGAGGUCUCAGAAGGGAAACUGGAAUGCUACAGAGGAAACAGCAGCAGUUAUGAGCAGUUACAUAUUCUAGGAAUUGGGGGACGGCAGAAGGGUUCAAGGAAGUGCCCAGACAGCCUGAUGGGUGCAGAGAUGCUUCCAGGCUGUCCCUAAGCCCAUUCCCAGGCUUACAGCAGCCUGACUAACCUCAUGCCAAGCAUCGAGUCCCUUUGAGUUUACUGUUUCAGCCGUAUACAUGUUGUGAUUCCUAGGCUCAGAAUGCGGGAGGGCUAAGCCUACAAGUUGAGGGUAUUGGUGCCAUCAGUUAGGGUUGGGGGUGACAAAUGACAGACUUGCCUGACUCUCAGCUUAGCUUCAGCUGAGCAGGAGGCCCCUGCCAUAGAGCGACUGGCACAUGACCCCUGACCCCAGCCCUGGUCUGACAUAUCCAGGCACUGGACCCUCAGAUCAUAGGUUAACUAGGCCUCCUUGUCUGGGCUGAUGAGGUGACUGCCUUGUCAUUAACACUUAAUCCUUUGAGGGCCAGACCAAACUCUCAGGCAGAACAAGUAGCUCACUGGGCCAAGACAACAUAAAAAACCAUGUAUCCCAAACCUUAACCCACAGUUUCGCUGUUCAAAUCAUUUUGGGGGGAAGAGCCAUACUUUAUUAUGAUGGGCCAGUCCUUUAAUCUCACAUAUGUAUGUGUUCACAUGGUAAAAAUGUAACCAAAUUCAUUCCUACAAACUCUCCAUUUUAAUAUUUUUAAUAUUAACACCUUUCUUUUAUGUUGUUCAAAGAAUUCACUCAGAUUCUCUAGGUUUUUGUGAAGAAGAAUAUGAUUAAAAUCAACACAUUGAAUUGAUGUUUUUGAUUGAAACAAAUACGUCUGGAGCAAAUUUAAAUUAAACAUGUGGUUUUACAUGUAGUUGGUUAGGAGUAGCAAUCAAUAGGUUAGCAUACCUUUAUUUUCUUCAAAGAAAAAAAAAUUCCAAUUGAAUGAUGCUUUGAAAAUAGCUAACUGGAAGCGUGAGGGACUUGUUUAGAAAGUUGAGGUGACAACUGAAAGUCAAGACUACACAUGCUCAUGUGUUUGCAAGGGGAAAAAAAUCUCCAAUUUAAAGAGAUGUGGGUACUGCUGUUAUUUCUUCAGAUAUAAUACAUAGGGAUGGAAAAGAUGGCUUUUCUUAUGGAAACAUUAGUUGUAAAUUGAAGAAAAAUGAGUAUAAAAAGUGAGACUGUUUUUUGUUCUGAAGAUUUUCCUCUUAUCUCUUCAUAGUUUUAUUAUGCAGAGAUUUGAUACUGACAUCUUUAACUGCGUGCUUAAACACACUCAUCUUUCCAGCAGCACACGGGGGCAUAGGGAUGGUUUGUCUUUAGGAAACAGAAGGCUCGCCUCUGCCCAUGGGCUCCUCACCCUUGGUCUAUUGCCAUUUCUGGUGCGCCUCCCCAUCUCUGAGGUCCUGUCCUCAACAUCCUGUGUCCCAUCCUCAGCUCUGUCCUCAUGCAAUCCCAUGUGAACACCUCUCUUCCCUGUUCAUGGAGCUGCACUGUCCUGGUCCCCUUUCUCAUUUCCUGGCUACCUAGUCACCAUCUUUUAAGAUUAAUCGCACAGUACAGAGUUGAUGAGCAGUCUGAGUUCUCAAAUGGUUUACAUUUGGAUCAAGGUGGAAAAUCGCAAUAAUUGAAUUGCUGCGAUCAAAUAAAUUUUGCACCAACCUAAUACAGAAACAGGCACUUAUCCACCAGGUAUCCUUCCAGCAUUUUUAGCUCUUGAACACUAUGAUAAAAAUCAGCAGAAAAUGUUCUAAGCGACAAUUCAAAUAGCUGUCACAGAAUCUACAUAACUUUAUUCCUUUGAUUACAUUUAACAAACAGUUAUUGAGUAUUUUCUAUCUGCCAGAUGCUGUCCAGGUUGGUAGAAAUACUGAGAUGAAUAAUUUAUUUCUCUCCCACCUUGUUCCAGAAAGGAUGUGAGGCAGCUUGUAGCAGAAACAUAUAAAAUAAAACAUUCAAAUGCAGGUUUUUAAAACUCAGAGCAAGGGAAAUAUGAAUUAAAAUAGGUCAAGUCCAGAGAGAAAAGAGGACACAGAUACACAGCACAUGCAGGCCUUCCUAAUUGUUAUACCUGAGUUGGAUAUUUUACCCUAAGCACAUUAGGGGGCCAGAGAAAAGGAAAACAUGGUC
rnacentral:lncRNA from 10 species